rnacentral:rRNA from 1 species
CCUACGGGGGGCAGCAGUGAGGAAUAUUGGUCAAUGGCCGGAAGGCUGAACCAGCCAAGCCGCGUGAGGGAGGAAGGCGCAGAGCGUCGCAGACCUCUUUUGCCGGGGGACAAAAGGCCGGACUCGUCCGGUCCUGAGGGUACCCGGAGAAAAAGCAUCGGCUAACUCCGUGCCAGCAGCCGCGGUAAUACGUAGGGGGCAAGCGUUAUCCGGAUUUACUGGGUGUAAAGGGAGCGUAGGUGGCAGGGCAAGUCAGAUGUGAAAACCCGGGGCUCAACUCCGGGAGUGCAUUUGAAACUGUCCAG